rnacentral:rRNA from 1 species
UACGUAGGUCCCGAGCGUUGUCCGGAUUUAUUGGGCGUAAAGCGAGCGCAGGUGGUUUAUCAAGUCUGGUGUAAAAGGCAGUGGCUCAACCAUUGUAUGCAUUGGAAACUGGUAGACUUGAGUGCAGGAGAGGAGGGUGGAAUUCCAUGUGUAGCGGUGAAAUGCGUAGAUAUAUGGAGGAACACCGGUGGCGAAAGCGGCUCUCUGGCCUGUAACUGACACUGAGGCUCGAAAGCGUGGGGAGCAAACAGG